rnacentral:lncRNA from 1 species
GGAAGACUUAAGAUGGCGGCGUUUGCACGGAGUGCAAUCACUGCGUCCUUACGGGGGUUGCAAGGCGUCCGAAGUAUGAGUCCACUAACAAAAGUCCAGAAACUCGCCAGUUAAUAGUAUUGUGUCUCUUCAAAAUAUCGGAGAAUAAUUUCUUUCUCGCUGAUCGCCUAACUUCUACUGACGAAGCUUGGAAGUUGCAGAAGAUGGAGUUCGCUCUUGUUGCCCAGGCUGGAAUGCAAUGGCAUGACCUUGGCUCACUGCAACCUCUGCCUCCCCAGUUCAAGUGGUUCUCCUGCCUCAGCCUCCCGAGUAGCUGAGAUUACAGGUACUGGCUCCUGUAUCACCCAGCUCUGGAGUUGAAAGAGCUCUUCAUUCCUGAGUCUCCUGUACCACUGAGAAUAGAAAUCAACACAUUGAGUCAAGAAAAAUGAAACACAGAAACACUCUAAAUAAAAGAAGAUAAGUCUUCAGAAACCAACCCUAAUGAAAUGAAGAUAUGUGAUUAACCUGACAGGAAAUUAAAAAGAGCAACCAUAAAGAGUCUCAUGGGAGCAAUGCAUGAACAAACUGAGAAUUUUCAUAAAGAAAUAAAAGAUAACAAAAAGUAUAAAGUUGAAGAAUACAAUAACUGGACUCAAAAAUUUAAUGUGUCCAACAGAAGAAUCGAUGAAGCAGAAGAAAGGGCUAUCAAACUUGUAGAUAGGCCAUUGGAAAUCAUGUAAUGUGAGGAGAAAAAAGAAAAAAGAUUGAAGAUAGUUUAAGAGACUUUUGAGACAUCCUCAAAGGGGAAUAAUUUAUACAUUACCAGAUGGAGAAGAUAGAGGGAAAAGGACAGAAAACAUAUUUGAAGAAAUAAUGUCAGAAAACCUCAUAAUUCUGGCAAGGAAAUAGAAAUUUAGAUCUAAGAAUCUCGAACAUCAGGUAUGAUGAAUCCAAGGAGACUCACACCAAACCAUAUUGUAAUUAAAUAAAGGUUAAAGACAAUCUUCAGAGCAGCAA